rnacentral:rRNA from 1 species
UACGUAGGGUGCAAGCGUUAAUCGGAAUUACUGGGCGUAAAGCGUGCGCAGGCGGUUAUAUAAGACAGAUGUGAAAUCCCCGGGCUCAACCUGGGAACUGCAUUUGUGACUGCAAAGCUGGAGUGCGGCAGAGGGGGAUGGAAUUCCGCGUGUAGCAGUGAAAUGCGUAGAUAUGCGGAGGAACACCGAUGGCGAAGGCAAUCCCCUGGGCCUGCACUGACGCUCAUGCACGAAAGCGUGGGGAGCAAACAGG